rnacentral:rRNA from 1 species
UACGUAGGGGGCAAGCGUUUGUCCGGAUUUACUGGGCGUAAAGAGCUCGUAGGUGGUUUGUCGCGUUGUUCGUGAAAACUCACAGCUCAACUGUGGGCGUGCGGGCGAUACGGGCAGACUAGAGUCAGGUAGGGGAGAACGGAAUUCCUGGUGUAGCGGUGAAAUGCGCAGAUAUCAGGAGGAACACCGGUGGCGAAGGCGGCCCUCUGGUCCAGUACUGAC